AUUCCCUUUUAUGAGCUUAUGACAUGCAAUGACAUGUUGGCCACAUUAGGCAGGUGGCCUCAAUACAGUGUUUAGCCAAAUACAGGUGAAAUAAUUGUAACCUUUUGAAAGAAUUUAAUGCUGGGAUGCUGUAGAGGACAUCAAGCAAGUGUUCAUGGACUCAUGGACUAGAUUGGGAAGACCAAGGACAGCAAGAUCAGAGGACAAUCGCUGCAGUUCGUCAGCAGUUGAUCGACCAUCAACAUGACAAAAGUGCAAGACGGAAUGGAGUUGGGCUCAGCCCAGCCUCUUUCAAUCGGAUAAACACGACUUGACCUUCAUCUUCAUCCGUAUAGAGGAAUUUCGAAUUACCACCGUCUCCGCAUUUCCACAUUGAAACCGAGGGUCUCUGUGGCACGCAUUCUGCACGUUCUGUUCCUCACAUUGCAGGCAGACAAUGGCUAAUCUCACAGAGAAGAUGACAUUCCAGGAGCAAAACGGGAUGUUUCUGUGCCUGCUCUUCAAAAAGUAAAAUGUGAAGACCGAAGACCGAAGUUUUGACUUAAAUGCCGUGGAGAUUCUUGCAAGGCCAAGGCGCAGAUGAUAGAGGAUCCAACAGCUUGUCCUUAGACAUGGAAAUGAGUCUACAAUCGUUGAUCCCACUCCAGAUGAGCAUUGGGAGAGUCUCUAGUGCAGGGUCAGCUGGCAUUAACUGGAGCAGAAUAGUGUGACUUUGUUGUUUACACACACAAAGGUUUAAUCAUUCAACGAACACCUUUUGAAUUAACAUUUUGGAAUAUCCUUUACAAAAAAAAAAUGCAGAAGUUUAUUUUGGCUUUUACAUCAAAGUGGCUAUUGAACAAUUCUAAUCUAUUGUCUCGCAAAGUUAAAAACUUUUUUUUUGCAUGUAAUCAUUUUCCCUUGACAGUGUUAUAACUCGAUCAAGACUUUUCAGCACCCACAGCAUUGGCUGAGAUGGUUCUUUUUUUUUAUAUUUUGAAUUGUGAAUAAUUAUGAUUCAUAGUUUUAAAGAGGCAUUCAUGUUGAUACAUUAAGUUUGUAGUCAUUAGACAUUAGGCAUAAGUGAUCAACUGGUAUCGCACACUGGUUUGGGUAUCAAACAUUCGUCAAAAUAGUGUCAGUGUAGACCCCUAUCAAAAUAUUAGAAACAAAAUGUGUUGAACUUGUAUAACUCAGUAGUAUGCAUUUAUGAAACUUAAGGUGUACAUCCUUAUAUUGGCAAGUUUUGCAUGCUUGAUUUAAGGGCUUACAUAAAAAUACACAGUUACAAAAAUUAGUCAAGAAGCCAAGCACAUUAAAAUUUAUGUUUUAUUUCAUAUUUAUUUCACAGGCAUUACAUAUGACAGUAACUGAAUGUAAACCAAGCAUAAACAAAUCGACCCCUUAAAGAAUAUGCUCCAAAACAUUAAUUUUUUCUCACUUCAAUAAAAGUCAAGAAAGUGCUGGAUACAUGUAUUUGAAAUAAAGUGAACAAGUGAUGUAUGUAUUUAAA
rnacentral:lncRNA from 1 species